rnacentral:rRNA from 1 species
AUGAACGCUGGCGGCGUGCCUAAUACAUGCAAGUCGAACGAGUUCUUGUUGAUGAUCGGUGCUUGCACCAAGAUUCAACAUGGAACGAGUGGCGGACGGGUGAGUAACACGUGGGUAACCUGCCCUUAAGUGGGGGAUAACAUUUGGAAACAGAUGCUAAUACCGCAUAGAUCCAAGAACCGCAUGGUUCUUGGCUGAAAGAUGGCGUAAGCUAUCGCUUUUGGAUGGACCCGCGGCGUAUUAGCUAGUUGGUGAGGUAAUGGCUCACCAAGGCGAUGAUACGUAGCCGAACUGAGAGGUUGAUCGGCCACAUUGGGACUGAGACACGGCCCAAACUCCUACGGGAGGCAGCAGUAGGGAAUCUUCCACAAUGGACGCAAGUCUGAUGGAGCAACGCCGCGUGAGUGAAGAAGGCUUUCGGGUCGUAAAACUCUGUUGUUGGAGAAGAAUGGUCGGCAGAGUAACUGUUGUCGGCGUGACGGUAUCCAACCAGAAAGCCACGGCUAACUACGUGCCAGCAGCCGCGGUAAUACGUAGGUGGCAAGCGUUAUCCGGAUUUAUUGGGCGUAAAGCGAGCGCAGGCGGUUUUUUAAGUCUGAUGUGAAAGCCCUCGGCUUAACCGAGGAAGCGCAUCGGAAACUGGGAAACUUGAGUGCAGAAGAGGACAGUGGAACUCCAUGUGUAGCGGUGAAAUGCGUAGAUAUAUGGAAGAACACCAGUGGCGAAGGCGGCUGUCUGGUCUGUAACUGACGCUGAGGCUCGAAAGCAUGGGUAGCGAACAGGAUUAGAUACCCUGGUAGUCCAUGCCGUAAACGAUGAAUGCUAGGUGUUGGAGGGUUUCCGCCCUUCAGUGCCGCAGCUAACGCAUUAAGCAUUCCGCCUGGGGAGUACGACCGCAAGGUUGAAACUCAAAGGAAUUGACGGGGGCCCGCACAAGCGGUGGAGCAUGUGGUUUAAUUCGAAGCAACGCGAAGAACCUUACCAGGUCUUGACAUCUUUUGAUCACCUGAGAGAUCAGGUUUCCCCUUCGGGGGCAAAAUGAUAGGUGGUGCAUGGUUGUCGUCAGCUCGUGUCGUGAGAUGUUGGGUUAAGUCCCGCAACGAGCGCAACCCUUAUGACUAGUUGCCAGCAUUUAGUUGGGCACUCUAGUAAGACUGCCGGUGACAAACCGGAGGAAGGUGGGGAUGACGUCAAAUCAUCAUGCCCCUUAUGACCUGGGCUACACACGUGCUACAAUGGAUGGUACAACGAGUUGCGAGACCGCGAGGUCAAGCUAAUCUCUUAAAGCCAUUCUCAGUUCGGACUGUAGGCUGCAACUCGCCUACACGAAGUCGGAAUCGCUAGUAAUCGCGGAUCAGCACGCCGCGGUGAAUACGUUCCCGGGCCUUGUACACACCGCCCGUCACACCAUGAGAGUUUGUAACACCCGAAGCCGGUGGCGUAACCCUUUUAGGGAGCGAGCCGUCUAAGGUGGGACAAAUGAUUAGGGUG